rnacentral:rRNA from 1 species
UUUCAGGAAACACAUGGGCGAUGAAUUAGCGGCCGCGAAUCGCCCUUAGAGUUUGAUCCUGGCUCAGGAUGAACGCUGGCGGCGUGCCUAAUACAUGCAAGUCGAACGGAGCGGGGCGACCCGCUCAGUGGCGAACGGGUGAGUAACACGUAGGUAACCUGCCCCCGGGUCCGGGAUACCAGGCGAAAGCUUGGCUAAUACCGGAUGACGCCGGAGCCCGCAUGGGCCCCGGCUGAAAGGCGCUUCGGCGCCGCCCCCGGAUGGACCUGCGGCGCAUUAGCUAGUUGGCGGGACAAAGGCCCACCAAGGCGAGGAUGCGUAGCCGACCUGAGAGGGUGAACGGCCACAAUGGGACUGAGACACGGCCCAUACUCCUACGGGAGGCAGCAGUAGGGAGUUUUCGGCAAUGGGGGGAACCCUGACCGAGCAACGCCGCGUGAGUGAUUGAAGGUCUUCGGAUCGUAAAGCUCUGUUGCGCGGGACGAACGGCGGUCGCAGGUAAUGGCGAUCGUCUGACGGUACCGCGCCAGAAAGUGACGGCUAACUACGUGCCAGCAGCCGCGGUAAUACGUAGGUCACGAGCGUUAUCCGGAAUUAUUGGGCGUAAAGAGUGAGCAGGCGGCUCGCUAAGCCCGGAGUGAAAGCGUGGGGCUCAACCCCAUAAAGCUCCGGGAACUGGCGGGCUAGAGUGCCUGAGAGGUCAACGGAACUCCAUGUGUAGCGGUGAAAUGCGUAGAUAUAUGGAAGAACACCGGCGGCGAAGGCGGUUGACCAGCAGAGCACUGACGCUCAGUCACGAAAGCGUGGGGAGCAAAUAGGAUUAGAUACCCUAGUAGUCCACGCCGUAAACGAUGAUGGCUAGCUGUCCCCCCCGGGGGCGGCGAAGCUAACGCAUUAAGCCAUCCGCCUGGGAAGUACGGCCGCAAGGCUGAAACUUAAAGGAAUUGACGGGACCCCGCACAAGUAGUGGAGCAUGUGGUUUAAUUCGACGCUACGCGGAAAACCUUACCAGGGCUUGACAUCCCGGCGCUAGUCGCGGAGACGCGAUGAGAAUGCCGGUGACAGGUGGUGCAUGGUUGUCGUCAGCUCGUGUCGUGAGAUGUUGGGUUAAGUCCCGCAACGAGCGCAACCCCCGUCGCCAGUUACCAUCAUUUAGUUGGGGACUCUGGCGAGACUGCCGUUGCAAAUCGGAGGAAGGUGGGGAUGACGUCAAAUCAGCAUGCCCUUUAUGCCCUGGGCCACACACGUGCUACAAUGGCCGUUACAGAGAGAUCCGACGCCGCGAGGCGGAGGGAAUCCCGCAAAGGCGGCCCCAGUUCAGACCGAAGUCUGCAAUUCGACUUCGCGAAGGCGGAAUUACUAGUAAUCGCGGAUCAGCAUGCCGCGGUGAAUACGUUCCCNGGGGUUUGUACACACCGCCCGUC